GCAUGCGAUCAUACCAGCAAUAAUGCACCGGAUCCCAUCAGAACUCCGAAGUUAAGCUUGCUUGGGUGAGAGUAGUACUAGGAUGGGUGACCUCCUGGGAAUGCCUCGUGUUGCAUCCCUCU
rnacentral:rRNA from 1 species